ACUGGAGUCCUUGGCUUUUCCGCGGCCACGGGAGGUGAAGGGAAGCGUCAGUCGCUAGCCUCCCUGAGCCGGCUCGGCCAGCGCGGGUGCUCAGGAACUUCUGUCCCGUGGGAUCUGAGAGGUUCUGGGUCAGAUGGUACAAGUUCAGACUGUGGUGCCAAACACCGAAGUCCAGUUCAUUGUCUGUCUUUAGGAAUAGCACUAAACUAUUGCUGAACAGAGAUUUGGACACUGAAGUGAAAUGGACUGUGAGGUCCUUACUCAUUAAGGAAGAAACUCACUGGUCAAUGUGAUAAAUAAAUGCUUUCUCAGAGAUGCUGCAGGCAUGAGCUUUUCUAAUGAGACGUUUAUGAAGAAUCAAUGAGAUCUCUACUAACUUCCAGAGACAAGAAUCUCUGAAAGUAUAAUUAUGAAGAAACUGAUCCUUGGAGACUGAAUAAAAAUCAGUAUGAACAACAAAAAGGUGUUUUUUUCAGUUUCCUAUCUUGGCUGAUAUUAGC